GCACUGCAAUAGUGCAAUAUAUGUUUUCUCCAGACCAACAACGGCAUGCCAAUUGUCACUCAUCCAUGUUUUACCCUAAAUUCCUUAUCUCUGAAGAGAAAAUCUUUGAUAUCGACGACUGCCUCACGGCGUCCUCUCAUCUACAGCAGCGAUCUCACUCUCCUUCCUCUGCCAUACCUGGCCCUCCCUCUGCUCUUCCAUUAGUUUUUCUUUUUCUCAUGGAGUAAUAUUAAAUGCUCGCAUCUCCCACUCAAGAAAGAAAGGAACCGUUACUUUCAAGAGAGAGAAAACAAACAACUCUCCACUGUUUGGUUGUGCUUGGAAUUAGGGGAAAUGGGGCUGAUUUCAGGGAUAUUUUGGGGAUCAUCUUUGGAAUCGGGUUGAUGGCUAGAGUAUGAAUGGAAACACAUGAUGCAGAACCGAAGCACCAAAAGAGUUGCUAAGGUGAAAUGGCUAAACAAGCAACUGGGCAAAUUACGGCCUUUUGCUGCAGAAGAAAUUAGACAAGCACUGCAGCCAUAAAACGACUUCCAAAAUCAGAUACCUCUAUACAAAACCACAAAAUCAUGCGACUUCUGGUGGCUGGGGCAGGUUAAGAUCAAGAUCAAGAUCAAGUGACGAAUCUGAAUCACUCUGGAUCCCACCUACAUUCACCAUCUCCAUUCAUUCAAACCUAGGAUGGCUUUAAUCAUCAAAACAACCUAUUUUUAUAUUAAAUAAUUCCAUAUAAUAAAAGAUGUUAAAAUUAUAUGUUUUUUUUACUUUGAAAAGAAUUAAAAAAACAUAUUUGAAUUUGAAAAACUUUUGGGGUGGUUUUUGCAUUUUUGAAGCUAUGAAUUAGUUUAACAUGGUUCUUAAAAUAUUUUAUAGGUUUUUUGGAUAAAAAAUUAGCUUUAAAUAAGUUUUUGAGUGAAAAAACCAUGAACCCAUGUGUAUUUGACUUGACUUACUAGAUCCAAAAAUAUUAGACCUUAUUUAUUUUUUUAAAAAAAAUUAAUACCUUUUUUAGGUAUUUUAAAAAUAUUUUUUUGAUUUAUGUUUUAGUUGAUACCUCUUAUCUAUUUUGUUUUGCAUUUUUAGUUUUUUUAAAUAACAAUUUUUUUUUUAAUUAUAUUGAAUGUGUUCUUUUAGGAGAUUAGUAUAAUUUAUCUAUAAUUUUUUCUUAUUUAUUUUAUAUAGAUUAAAUAUUUAUUUUUUAUAAUAUUUUUAUUAUUUGCAACAUUACAUAUUAUUUUUUUCCUUUUAUUUUAUUCAAUGAGUUUUAUGUGUAUAUUGAUUUCUAUUAUAAAUUGAUUUUAAUAAACAAA